rnacentral:rRNA from 1 species
UAGGGAAUCUUCCACAAUGGACGCAAGUCUGAUGGAGCAACGCCGCGUGAGUGAAGAAGGUCUUCGGAUCGUAAAGCUCUGUUGUUGGUGAAGAAGGGUAGAGGCAGUAACUGGUCUUUAUUUGACGGUAAUCAACCAGAAAGUCACGGCUAACUACGUGCCAGCAGCCGCGGUAAUACGUAGGUGGCAAGCGUUGUCCGGAUUUAUUGGGCGUAAAGCGAGCGCAGGCGGAAUGAUAAGUCUGAUGUGAAAGCCCACGGCUCAACCGUGGAACUGCAUCGGAAACUGU